rnacentral:rRNA from 1 species
ACGGUCCUAAGGUAGCGAAAUUCCUUGUCGGGUAAGUUCCGACCCGCACGAAAGGUGUAACGAUUUGGGCACUGUCUCAACGAGGGACCCGGUGAAAUUGAAGUACCUGUGAAGAUGCAGGUUACCCGCGACUGGACAGAAAGACCCCAUGGAGCUUUACUGUAACCUGACAUUGGGUUCUGAUACAUCACGUACAGGAUAGGUGGGAGGCAUGGAAGCGAGGACGCUAGUCUUCGUGGAGCCGCCGUUGGGAUACCACCCUUGAUGUAUCGGAAUUCUAACCGUAGGAGUAACGAAACUCGGGACAGUGUCAGGCGGGCAGUUUGACUGGGGCGGUCGCCUCCCAAAGAGUAACGGAGGCGCCCAAAGGUUCCCUCAGCGCGGACGGAAACCGCGCGAAGAGUGCAAAGGCAGAAGGGAGCUUGACUGCGAGACGGACAGGUCGAGCAGGGACGAAAGUCGGGCUUAGUGAUCCGGUGGUAGAGAGUGGAAUUGCCAUCGCUCAACGGAUAAAAGCUACCCUGGGGAUAACAGGCUUAUCUCUCCCAAGAGUCCAUAUCGACGGGGAGGUUUGGCACCUCGAUGUCGGCUCAUCACAUCCUGGGGCUGAAGUAGGUCCCAAGGGUUGGGCUGUUCGCCCAUUAAAGUGGUACGCGAGCUGGGUUCAGAACGUCGUGAGACAGUUCGGUCCCUAUCCAUCGCGGGCGCAAGAGAUUUGAAGGGGGCUGCUCCUAGUACGAGAGGACCGGAGUGGACGAACCAAUGGUGUACCAAUUAUCUCGCCAGAGGUAUAGUUGGGUAGCUACGUUCGGAAAGGAUAAACGCUGAAAGCAUCUAAGCGUGAAACCAGCCUUAAGAUGAGAUCUCUCAUAGAGUAAUCUAGUAAGACACCUUGGAGAAGACGAGGUUGAUAGGUCGGGAGUGUAAGUACAGUAAUGUAUUCAGCGGACCGAUACUAAUAUGUCGAGGGCUUGACUUA